rnacentral:misc_RNA from 1 species
UCUCCGUUUGCACGGGCAGUUCCACUAGAGUCCUCAGCAUAACCUGUUAGCAACUAAUGGUAGGGGUUGCGCUCGUUGCGGGGCUUAACCCAACACCUCACGACACGAGCUGACGACAGCCAUGCAGCACCUGUGUUCAGGUUCCCUUUCGGGCACCACCACAUCUCUGCGGUGUUCCUGACAUGUCAAGGGUAGGUAAGGUUUUUCGCGUUGCAUCGAAUUAAUCCACAUAAUCCACCGCUUGUGCGGGUCCCCGUCAAUUCCUUUGAGUUUUAACCUUGCGGCCGUACUCCCCAGGCGGUCGACUUCACGCGUUAGCUUCGUUACUGAGAGUGUCAAACCCCCAACAACCAGUCGACAUCGUUUAGGGCGUGGACUAC